CCCCUUGAAAUCACAACUGUCGAAAAUUGAGAUUACUAAGAGCUACCACCUCCAAUCAAAAUAAGGCAAAAAAUAAUAUCAAAAUGGUCAAAAUAUUGAAGAGCCAAAAACUUGAAAAUCCUCAUCUACCGAAAGCCGGAACCACGAGAUGACCGAAAACCCUCACCUAUUAAAAGUCGACACCACAUGAUGAUCGAAAACUUGAAACUUGAAAACCUCACCUACAGAACCAUGGGAUGACCAAAACCCAAAAACUCAAACCUACUGAAAGUCAGCACCACAUAUUAACUGAAAAUCCGCAAACCCUCACCUACUGAAAGCUAGCACCAUGAGAUCACUGAAAACUUGAAAUACUAGAGCAUCCAACACUUUUUCUCUCUUCAGAAGCCAAAAACCCGAAAACCCUCACCUAUAGAAACACGACACCACGAGAUGACCAAUAACUCGAAACACUAGAGUAGCCAAUAUCCUUUCUCCUUUCAAGAGCUGAAAACUCAAAAUGUCAUACAACUGAAACCGAUACUCCACAAAGACCGAAAACCCAA
rnacentral:lncRNA from 1 species